rnacentral:rRNA from 1 species
UGGCGGACGGGUGAGUAACACGUGGGUAACCUGCCCUUAAGUGGGGGAUAACAUUUGGAAACAGAUGCUAAUACCGCAUAGAUCCAAGAACCGCAUGGUUCUUGGCUGAAAGAUGGCGUAAGCUAUCGCUUUUGGAUGGACCCGCGGCGUAUUAGCUAGUUGGUGAGGUAAUGGCUCACCAAGGCGAUGAUACGUAGCCGAACUGAGAGGUUGAUCGGCCACAUUGGGACUGAGACACGGCCCAAACUCCUACGGGAGGCAGCAGUAGGGAAUCUUCCACAAUGGACGCAAGUCUGAUGGAGCAACGCCGCGUGAGUGAAGAAGGCUUUCGGGUCGUAAAACUCUGUUGUUGGAGAAGAAUGGUCGGCAGAGUAACUGUUGUCGGCGUGACGGUAUCCAACCAGAAAGCCACGGCUAACUACGUGCCAGCAGCCGCGGUAAUACGUAGGUGGCAAGCGUUAUCCGGAUUUAUUGGGCGUAAAGCGAGCGCAGGCGGUUUUUUAAGUCUGAUGUGAAAGCCCUCGGCUUAACCGAGGAAGCGCAUCGGAAACUGGGAAACUUGAGUGCAGAAGAGGACAGUGGAACUCCAUGUGUAGCGGUGAAAUGCGUAGAUAUAUGGAAGAACACCAGUGGCGAAGGCGGCUGUCUGGUCUGUAACUGACGCUGAGGCUCGAAAGCAUGGGUAGCGAACAGGAUUAGAUACCCUGGUAGUCCAUGCCGUAAACGAUGAAUGCUAGGUGUUGGAGGGUUUCCGCCCUUCAGUGCCGCAGC